UUAGCAAGGGAGGGAAUAUGGUCAAUAGCCUAACGGCUGAACCAGCAACUUGGGGGAAUGUAUAGCGAAAGCUAGUUGUAUUAACUAUUAGUUAAUGCAAGAUCGACUACGUCGAAUAAAGUUCUAGGUAGAAUAAUGAUGAUGACAAUUUUUUACCUAUAUGUCUUGACCAAAUCUCGUGCCAGCAGUCGCGGUAAUACGUGGGAGACUAGUGUUAUUCAUCUUUAAUAGGUUUAAAGGGUACCUAGACGGUAUUUCUAGCCCAAAAUAGGGUACGGAUUUACUAGAGUUUUAUGUGAGGAGGGGAGUACUUGUGGAGUAGAGAUGAAAUUUUUUUAUACUAUGAGGAAACUGGUGGCGGCGAAAGCAACCUUCUAUAUAUAAACUGACGUUGAGGGACGAAGGCUUGGGUAGCAAAUAGGAUUAGAUACCCUAGUAGUCCAAGCAGACAAUUCUGAAUGCCAUAGAUUAGAUUAUUUUUGGUCUAUAAAUGAAAGUGUAAGCAUUCCACCUCAAGAGUAAUGUGGCAACACAGGAACUGAAAUCAUUAGACCGUUUUUGAAACCAGUAGUGAAGUAUGUUAUUUAAUUCGAUGAUCCUCGAAAAACCUUACCACAAUUUGAAUAUUUUAAAUUCAUACAAGCGUUGCACGGCUGUCUUCAGUUAAUGUCGUGAGAUUUUGGUUAACUCCAUUAAAUUAACGUAAACCCUUACUUUAUUUAUUUUUUUAUAUAAAGUAGUUCGUCGCUAUAUUGGUUAUGAUAAAAGGGACUAAGACAAGUCAUCAUGGCCUUAAUAUUGUGGGUAAGAAGGGGGCCCCA
rnacentral:rRNA from 1 species